CGGGUGAGUAAUACAUCGGAACGUGCCCAGUAGUGGGGGAUAACCCGGCGAAAGCCGGACUAAUACCGCAUACGACCUACGGGUGAAAGCAGGGGAUCGCAAGACCUUGCGCUAUCGGAGCGGCCGAUGUCAGAUUAGCUUGUUGGUGGGGUAAAAGCCCACCAAGGCGACGAUCUGUAGCUGGUCUGAGAGGACGACCAGCCACACUGGGACUGAGAUACGGCCCAG
rnacentral:rRNA from 1 species